UGUAAAGCAUAUCAGCCAAUCAAGCCCAAGC
rnacentral:piRNA from 1 species